GGACCCGUAGCUCAGCUGGUAGCAGCGUCAGAUUCCAAUUGUCUUGACUCAAGCACAUUGUCUCCUGGAGGUCGUCCGUUCGAUCCGGGCCGGGUUCA